rnacentral:rRNA from 1 species
UUUUAUGGAGAGUUUGAUCCUGGCUCAGGAUGAACGCUGGCGGCGUGCCUAAUACAUGCAAGUCGAGCGAACGGACGAGAAGCUUGCUUCUCUGAUGUUAGCGGCGGACGGGUGAGUAACACGUGGAUAACCUACCUAUAAGACUGGGAUAACUUCGGGAAACCGGAGCUAAUACCGGAUAAUAUUUUGAACCGCAUGGUUCAAAAGUAAAAGACGGUCUUGCUGUCACUUAUAGAUGGAUCCGCGCUGCAUUAGCUAGUUGGUAAGGUAACGGCUUACCAAGGCAACGAUGCAUAGCCGACCUGAGAGGGUGAUCGGCCACACUGGAACUGAGACACGGUCCAGACUCCUACGGGAGGCAGCAGUAGGGAAUCUUCCGCAAUGGGCGAAAGCCUGACGGAGCAACGCCGCGUGAGUGAUGAAGGUCUUCGGAUCGUAAAACUCUGUUAUUAGGGAAGAACAUAUGUGUAAGUAACUG